rnacentral:rRNA from 1 species
CAGUAGCCGCGGUAAUACGUAGGUGGCAAGCGUUGUCUGGAAUUAUUGGGCGUAAAGGGCUCGCAGGCGGUUUCUUAAGUCUGAUGUGAAAGCCCCCGGCUCAACCGGGGAGGGUCAUUGGAAACUGGGAAACUUGAGUGCAGAAGAGGAGAGCGGAAUUCCACGUGUAGCGGUGAAAUGCGUAGAGAUGUGGAGGAACACCAGUGGCGAAGGCGACUCUCUGGUCUGUAACUGACGCUGAGGAGCGAAAGCGUGGGGAGCGAACAGGAUUAGAUACCCCUGUAGUCCCUGUCUCUUAUAC